CUGCCUCGCCUUUUUGGACGUUUCCUCCCUAAACUUGGCGGCCUCAAUGGCCGCCAUUUUUUUGCCCCUC
rnacentral:sRNA from 1 species